rnacentral:lncRNA from 1 species
CCCAAUUAAUUUGAAUAGAGUCCAAGAGAAUUAGAUUUAAUGGACUAAUGAUGUUAUAUCAUUUAAACAAGCCCAAUUAAUUAAUUAAGCAUGAGACUUGUAGAUAAAGUGAUUAAGGGCAAUUAAUUAUUUAAUCUAGCCCAAUAUAUUAUAUAUGGGACAAGUAUUAUAAUGACCCAAUUAAAUUUUGGGUGGAAGCCCAAGUUAGUUUUUGUUAGUAUGUAACACAAGUAAAAUGGCUAGCUCAAUGGAAUUAAUUAAUGGUCCAAACUAAGCCUACUUGUGGGAGGAUAGUAAUAAU